CUUGGGAGUAUGGAGGAGGUAAGGCCCAAACCGCAGGGGGUAUGCUGGCUAUGAAGGAAGUAUGAAGCCAAAAUAUGCUUGGGCUUAAGUUGGAUAGAUUAAUCCCAAGGUGAAUGUUAUGAAGGAACGGAUGGUCAUCAUCUUCCUCAACUUUUCACUCUCAACAGCUCACAAGAGUAAUAGAAAAGAACAAGGUUCCGACGAAGAACCUAGUCGCAUCGGCUUUCGCCACCGGCGGCAGCGAUGCAAAACGGUAAAACAACUUACGCCAUCCUCCGCUUCAACCUCUCAUAACCGAACUAAGAAACAAACCUCUCAUCCUAAACGAAACCGAAUCGCUGACGUGAUUCCUCGACGGAACGAAACGAGCGGCGAACGAAAAAAUGGAAGCGAACUCGACCAUGAUUCACACCACAACAAAAGGAUCGACUAACGCGAAGAGAUGAGAGAACCUACCGGCGACGGUGGAGGCGGAACCGAAGCGACUGUCGAAUUCGAAACUCAGGAAUUGUGAUGCUGUGAUUUGUGGAAAUUGGCGUGGUGUAAUGAUUCUGCAGUUCAUAUGCGUGCAAGAUAUGGUGCGUUCGAUGAAGAGGUGAUUUACAGAACAAUUGCAGGAUUUAAAAAUAAGAUGAUGAAGAAGGUGUUAGGAGUUUUAACGAAUGCAGGUGAUGGUUCAGUUUGCAGAAUUGUGAUUUAGCCAAAGGAAAAGCAGAAGAUGAUGUUUUGUGAUUCUGGAAAUCAUUGUGGAUGGUGAUGUGAGGCGCGGGAAGAAGAAGAAGAUAUAGGUGUUGUUUGUUAGCAGAAAAGUGGGGAGAGUGAAAGCUCCGAUCUUAGCUCAUGAGUUUAUAUCGAGUUGUUUGCAAUCGGAUGUGAGAGCUUGAAGUUUGAACUUGGUCGCGUUUUCAAUUCAUGUUGCAUUUCAUUUUUGUCAUGCUGCAUUUUGGCUUGCAUUUUGGUUUGUGCUGCAAUUUCUUGGCAAUGUUGCAAUUGCGUUUCGUUUCACUUCAUGCUGCAUUUCAUUUUGUAAAUUACUGCGUUUUGGCUUUGCAAUGCCUACAUUUCCAAUUGCCUUUUUUUCCUUUUUUGUCUUAUUUGAUAUAGUACUUGGACCUUGCUUUUGUUGUCUUAUUUGGUAUGCUUCGAUAUGGUUACUAUAAUUUGAAUCUUUGAUAUUGGAUAUAUAUAAUGGAUUUUGUUGGAUA